rnacentral:lncRNA from 1 species
GGGGGGUUGAAACUCUCCAAUAUACUACUAGUCAUUAAAACGACUUUUUAGAAAAAUGUGACCGUACGAAAUUCUGACGACAGGGCAAAAACUAAAGAAGACAUAUUUGUCUUUAAGUUAAGACCAUUUUUUAGCCGUGUGUUAUUUGGGGAGAUUAAACUCGCGAUCUAGACGACUUUUUACACUUCUGUCACCGCAUUAUAUGUAUU